AUAAGUUUUAUAAAAUAUUUAAUUUAAAAUGAAGAGAAGAGCUUUUAAUAACGCCAUGAGCAAGAAAAACUGAUUUACGAGUCCAAUAUUAAAAAAUUUUAUCGACAUCGCCAGUUCUCUACCACUGCAGGCCUAUUGCGCUGUGGAUUUAAUAGAAACAAAAUUAAAAAAUCCAGAGUAUACAUAAGCCAUGACCACUUAUAUCAUAAAAAUAAAAGGUGUGUUUGAGGACGUAGCCAGCGGUAUUAAACAUUUAUCUUCGGACGAGGCAUUGCUGCAGUUUAACUGGUUGACACAAUCCUACGAGGUAAUAUGUACACAUAUUAGGAACACUACAAGUUCUGACCAUUUAUAUUUUCUUUAUUUAUUUAUAACUAUAUACAUAUAAACCUUUUUAACAUACUUGUCAAAAAUUCUCAAAAAUCAGCGCAAGUUCUUAAAAAAAUGGUCAAAACUUAUCAAGAAAUAAUAUCCCUAAUUAUGUGGCCACUACCGUAUACAUAUGUACAUAUCUUUUAACAAACCAAUUUUUUGGUAAUCUAUUUCAUUCCACAUAGAUGCAUUUAAAAAGAAAGGUCCUGUUGAGUUCCAAAAAGAAAUCAAGAAGGCAACUGAGCUCAGCCAUCACCGCUUGCACCAAAAAAUCUAAAAACAC